rnacentral:rRNA from 1 species
UUGCUCUCUGGAUCAGUGGCGAACGGGUGAGUAACACGUGAGCAAUCUGCCCCUGACUCUGGGAUAAGCGCUGGAAACGGCGUCUAAUACCGGAUACGAGCUGCGAAGGCAUCUUCAGCAGCUGGAAAGAACUUCGGUCAGGGAUGAGCUCGCGGCCUAUCAGCUAGUUGGUGAGGUAAUGGCUCACCAAGGCGUCGACGGGUAGCCGGCCUGAGAGGGUGACCGGCCACACUGGGACUGAGACACGGCCCAGACUCCUACGGGAGGCAGCAGUGGGGAAUAUUGCACAAUGGGCGCAAGCCUGAUGCAGCAACGCCGCGUGAGGGACGACGGCCUUCGGGUUGUAAACCUCUUUUAGCAGGGAAGAAGCGAAAGUGACGGUACCUGCAGAAAAAGCACCGGCUAACUACGUGCCAGCAGCCGCGGUAAUACGUAGGGUGCAAGCGUUAUCCGGAAUUAUUGGGCGUAAAGAGCUCGUAGGCGGUUUGUCGCGUCUGCUGUGAAACCCCGAGGCUCAACCUCGGGCCUGCAGUGGGUACGGGCAGACUAGAGUGCGGUAGGGGAGAUUGGAAUUCCUGGUGUAGCGGUGGAAUGCGCAGAUAUCAGGAGGAACACCGAUGGCGAAGGCAGAUCUCUGGGCCGUAACUGACGCUGAGGAGCGAAAGGGUGGGGAGCAAACAGGCUUAGAUACCCUGGUAGUCCACCCCGUAAACGUUGGGAACUAGUUGUGGGGUCCAUUCCACGGAUUCCGUGACGCAGCUAACGCAUUAAGUUCCCCGCCUGGGGAGUACGGCCGCAAG